UGCUCAUGGGGGCUGCAGCUCGCUCGUAC
rnacentral:sRNA from 1 species